GAUGAACGCUGGCGGCGUGCCUAAUACAUGCAAGUCGAGCGAACAGACGAGGAGCUUGCUCCUCUGACGUUAGCGGCGGACGGGUGAGUAACGCGUGGAUAAUCUACCUAUAAGACUGGGAUAACUUCGGGAAACCGGAGCUAAUACCGGAGAAUCUAUUGAACCGCGUGGGUGGAUAGUAAAAGACGGUGUUGCUGUCACGUAUAGAUGGAUCCGGGCCGCAUUAGCUAGUUGGUAAGGUAACGGCUUACCAAGGCAACGAUGCGUAGCCGACGCAAGGGGGUGAUCGCCGCCUGUGGAAGUGAGCCGCGGCAUAGACACCGAGGGGAGGCCGAAGCAGGGAAUCUUCCGCAAAGGGCGAAAGCCUGAAGGAGGAACGCAGCGCGAGUGAUGAAGGUCCGCGGAUCGUAAAACGCUGUUAGGAGGGAAGAACAAAUGUGUAAGUAACGAUGCGCGUGUGGACGUAACCGAAACAGAAAGCCACGGUAAAUUACGU
rnacentral:rRNA from 1 species